rnacentral:rRNA from 1 species
UACGUAGGUGGCAAGCGUUGUCCGGAUUUACUGGGCGUAAAGGGCGUGCAGGCGGUUUGUUAAGUGCAGAGUGAAAGCUCCCGGCUCAACUGGGAGAGGUCUUUGCAUACUGGCAAACUCGAGGGAGGCAGAGGAAAGUGGAAUUCCCGGUGUAGUGGUGAUAUGCGUAGAUAUCGGGAGGAACACCUGUGGCGAAGGCGACUACCUGGCCUGUUCUUGACGCUGAGGCGCGAAAGCGUGGGGAGCAAACAGG